ensembl:lncRNA
CAGAAAUCACAGAUUCUGGAGGUAAGACAGAGUCUGGGGAAAGGAAGACAUCCUAUUGGUCAAGGAGGAUCUGGCUAGACACUGUCUAGGCAAAAUCAAUGUACACAAAUCCAUGAGUCCUGAUGGAAUGCAUCCAUGCAUGCUGAGGGGGUUGGCAGAAAUACUUGCUAAGCCACUCUUUAUUAUCUUUGAGAAGUCUUGGAGAAUGGCAGUAGUACCUGAAAAAUGGUUGACAGCUAAAGUAACUCCAGUCUUCAAAAUGGGCAAGAAGGAGAAUCCAGGAUACUACAGGCUAGUCAGCCUCACCUCCAUCCUCGGGAAACUGAUGGAACAACUUAUGUUUGACAUCAUCUCCAAGCUACUCCUGAGAUGCAGUGUCUCAGCCUUGCAUGGAGACCCCAGCUUCUCUGAUUUGGAUAAGCCUGCUACAGCUGCGUCAGAUGUGCCGUUAUUAUGGACAACCCAAGGAGAACUGAACAGCAUAUAUGUAUGGACUCUGCAAAAAAUUUGCACGCUCUUUUCCCUUUUUAUGUUUUCUUUCUGCCUGUAAUUGACUGAGAAUAUGCAACUCCAGCCCUGCUGCCAAUGGGGUUCAUGAAACAUUGUGACACUGCGGUGGUAACCAUCUCUGUAUUCCUAUAACAAAUCCUUGCUUUUAUUUUCUGUCUUUACACUAUCACUUUCUUCAUCUCACCUCCCAUCCCCAGGCCUAGCAAACCAAAAGUUUUCUAAUAAACUGGUUGAGCAAGUAUUUGACUCUUUUCCAAAUCUUAAUUUCUCAUUGGG